GCCCAGAUGGCGGAAUUGGUAGACGCGUUGGUCUCAAACACCAAUAACUUCACGGUUGUGCCGGUUCGACCCCGGCUCUGGGUA
rnacentral:tRNA from 3 species